UUCCUGAUUUCUAAUAAUCAACUGCUAUAGGAUGUUGGGGCUCAGAAAACAAAACCCCAGAGUGAAGGGUUUGACAAAAGGGUCAAAGUGCAAGUCUUGUCCAGGAGGAAGUAGAUAAUUCUGUGUAAUGAGAGAAUAAAAUAGGAGUAAGGAGUUGCAGGAGACCUGGACUGGGCAUUCCUAUUGAAGGAAGAUUAUGAAUAUUGUUCGUGCCAAGCCAAGAACUAAAGACUUUCUGUUAUAAGCCUAUAGAGAUUAAGAAUUUAAUUAAGAAGCAGCAGAACUUGUAGUUGGCACAACCCCCAGCAAACAUGGUAGAAAAAAACACCACUGAGCAGGAAAGCCAACUGCAACCAGCAACCAUCCCCAAAAAUGCAGUAUAAAAGAAACCUGGAGAGAAAAAUCUGGCACACUGGAGAGACCACUCAACCCUCAGGGGGAAUGCACAAAAAGUAACAGGCAAAUGCAGCUGAUAUGCAACAUGGGAAGAUAAACAUGAGCUUUCCCAUACACCUCUGGCAACUAUGCAAUUAUCUCAGGCUCCAUUGCUACUCAGGGCAAGAAGAACUCUCGAGGCAUCUGACGGCCAGAAAGUGGACAGGAGCAGUGACAGCACCCCUUGGAUAAGAGAAAAUAUACAAAAUUUCUCAAAAAAUGAUAGAAGACAAAUUGUACCAGAAGCUCUUAAAGAGGUAUCAACAGCUGCUGUGGGAACUGAAGGUUAGAAAGGGUAAUAGGUCUUGGGGUUCUGGAAAGGUCCACGAAGGAGCAGAACUUUUUAAUCUGAGCCUUAAAAGGAAAGGAGGUAUGAGGUGGAAGUUUAUUUAUAUAAAUGCCAAUUACACCCAGCAAACCGAUAAUAUAAAAAUGAUAGGAGUCGCCUAGACGACUGGCUCCAGGCAGCUAACAUGUGCUCUUUAUUAUUUUCAAGACAGAGUUGAGACUAAGCAUAAGGAGAAAAGACUGAACUGAACAAAGAUGUGAUCACUCAUAUUAUAUACACACAUUGCAUUGUUAAAGGGAUCUUCUAGUUUUAAUAGAGUUAGGAGAAAGUAGGUUGCCAAAUUUAAAACAAUGUUCUUUUUGGAGUUUUUUGCCAUCAAAAAAGUAACAUUUCCUUAGGUCAUACAAUACAGUAAUUCAAAAAUAGGUGAAUAUGUAUGUAUGUAUUUUUUGCAUGAAUGUGUUUAUAAUAGAUUUUUUAUGUAUCCAGAAAUGUAACUUAGACUAUCAUGUCCUCACAGUCAACCAAAUUUGUUUAAAAUUACUUUAUUUAAACUAAUUUUCCAAUUUCAACAUGUGUACAGCUAAUACCUUUUCUUCCAUGCUGAGCUCUUCUCUAAGCUGUUUGCUAAAAUGAAGCCUUAUUUUUGAUUCUCUGAAACUACUGCCCUGGCUUACACACAUCUCUUGUAACAGUCCAUGAUUUGAAUACCAUAUGUG
rnacentral:lncRNA from 10 species